CAUAAACUGUCAGAAGAUUUACAUAAGAUGAGAGCUUUCUCCAGACGAUAGAGGAUGUCAGGGAAGGAAUGCAUUGCAAGGAGCUCCUCGGGGCAGUUGGAUUCCACAUGGAUUCACAGCGAGCAGCACAUGUUUGGAAAGAGGAUGGCUGUAAAGGUAAGGGCUCAGCCUCCAUGUUUUCUUCACCCGAAACGGUCCACGUGGUUGCUGGGCGCAGCUUCUUCCCUUCUAUUCCGGAGCACACAUCGCAUGUUUCCUUAACCCCGUUCUUCAAACCCAGGCUCCCAGAUUCCCUCAAAAGCAAGAAAGAAAAGGAGCCCAGGAAGAGUGCUUCCUUAACCCCGUUGCUCAAACCCAGAUUCCCUUGAAAGUAAGAAAGAAAAGGAUCCCAGGAGUGGUGCUUCCUUAACCCGUUCUUCAAACCCAGACUCUCUUGAAAGAAAGGAAAGGGUCCCAAGAAAGUCUUAUAAAGCCCUAUAUGCUUCGGGUUCAACCUAUCUUCGAGACCGCAUCUCCUUCAAUGAAACUUUGUGGGCCAAAAGAUCUACUGGAGAGGCACUCCUCUCGGUCCCAGCACUGUCCCAAGUACGGCUGGUGGGGACAACAGAGAGGCCCUACUUAGUGGUGGCACGCCGGCUCUGGAAUGCCCUCCCUAGAGAGAUUAGGUUAGCCCCUACUCUCCAAGCUUUUCAGUCUAGUCUAAAAACUUGGCUUUUUAAAUAGGCCUCUGACCUUGAAUAGUUUUU
rnacentral:lncRNA from 11 species